UUAUCAACCCAUCAUUAGUAUUGAAUAAGUUCAUAAAUUAUGAAAAAUAUUAUGCUAGAACUAGUAACAAGAAAAUGAAUUUCUCCAAAAUGUAAACAUAAACCAAAAUGGACAAUCCAUUGGUGAUUAACGGCUUUGUGCUUAUUAUAGUAAAACAACUAGAAAACUCUAUAUAUUUUAUGCCGUUAACCUUACACAAGAACUUUUCUGGAAAGAUUAAAAGGAAAAGAAGGAACUCGGCAAAUUUUAACCCCGCCUGUUUACCAAAAACAUCGCCUUUUGCACAAAUAUAAAAGGUCCAGCCUGCCCAGUGUUUUUAAUCAACGGCCGCGUGAUUUAAGCGCGCUAAGGUAGCGUAAUAAUUUGUUCUCUAAAUAAGGACUUGUAUCAAUGGCAUCACGAGGGUUAUACUGUCUCCUCUCCCCAAUCAGUGAAACUAAUCUCCCUGUGAAAAAGCAGGGAUAAGACUAUAAGACGAGAAGACCCCAUGGAGCUUAUAAUACAGCAGCAACUAUAAUAAUAAUAUCAAUACAAUUUUUAGCCAUGUGUGCCAAUUUUAGGUUGGGGUGACCAUGGAGCAAAACAAAGCCUCCACGACGAACAGAGUAUACACCCUUAUCCAAGAGAUACUCCUCUAAGAAUUAUUAAAAUAACGCCCAAUGAUCCGACUAUCGACCAACGGACGAGGUACCCUGGGGA
rnacentral:rRNA from 1 species